GACGAACGCUGGCGGCGUGCUUAACACAUGCCAGUCGAACGGAAAGGCCCUGCUUUUGUGGGGUGCUCGAGUGGCGAACGGGUGAGUAACACGUGAGUAACCUGCCCUUGACUUUGGGAUAACUUCAGGAAACUGGGGCUAAUACCGGAUAGGAGCUCCUGCUGCAUGGUGGGGGUUGGAAAGUUUCGGCGGUUGGGGAUGGACUCGCGGCUUAUCAGCUUGUUGGUGGGGUAGUGGCUUACCAAGGCUUUGACGGGUAGCCGGCCUGAGAGGGUGACCGGCCACAUUGGGACUGAGAUACCGGCCCGACUCCUACGGGAGGCAGCAGUGGGGAAUAAUGCAACAUGGGCGGAAGCCUGAUGCAGCAACGCCGCGUGCGGGAUGACGGCCUUCGGGUUGUAAACCGCUUUCGCCUGUGACGAAGCGUGAGUGACGGUAAUGGGUAAAGAAGCACCGGCUAACUACGUG
rnacentral:rRNA from 1 species